rnacentral:rRNA from 1 species
CGCAUCUGUGCAUGCAGCAUAUCAAUAAGCGGAGGAAAAGAAACUAACAAGGAUUCCCUUAGUAACGGCGAGUGAAGCGGGAAGAGCUCAAAUUUGAAAUCUUCAAGGUUUUACCUUGACGAAUUGUAGUUUAAAGAAGUGUUUUCUGUUGAAGUUUUGGUAAAAGUUCUUUGGAAUAGGACAUCAUAGAGGGUGAGAAUCCCGUAUUUGACCAUUAUUUUCAGCUGUGUGAUACACUUUCAAAGAGUCGGAUUGUUUGGGAAUGCAGUCCAAAAUGGGUGGUAAAUUUCAUCUAAAGCUAAAUAUUGGCGAGAGACCGAUAGCGAACAAGUACCGUGAGGGAAAGAUGAAAAGAACUUUGAAAAGAGAGUUAAACAGUACGUGAAAUUGUCAAAAGGGAAGCGUUUGACACCAGUGUUGUUUUCUCGAAAAUCAAUUAAAAAGAGUUUGAUUUUGUUGUGUAUUGACCUUAACAGCUUGCAUUUCAAUUUUCUUGCUUUUUUUAAUGCACUUUUCGUUUAACAAGUCAACAUCAGUUUCUUUUGUUGUAAAAAGGUCAUUGGAAGGUGGCUUUCCUUUCGGAGAAAGUGUUUAUAGCCUUUGACUCCUGCAAUCGGAGAGACUGAGGUCUGCAGUGUAGAUCCUUCGGGGUUAGAUACAUUUGUGCUAAGUUAUAGCUUUUUAGUAGACAACUUGUUGACUAUGAUUAGUCUUGUAGCUUACUCGCUUAUGCUAUUUUACCUACGCUUAGGAUGUUGACACACGCGCGUGCUCG